UACGUAGGGUGCGAGCGUUGUCCGGAAUUAUUGGGCGUAAAGAGCUCGUAGGCGGUCUGUCGCGUCUGCUGUGAAAACCCGGGGCUCAACUCCGGGCUUGCAGUGGAUACGGGCAGACUAGAGUUCGGUAGGGGAGACUGGAAUUCCUGGUGUAGCGGUGAAAUGCGCAGAUAUCAGGAGGAACACCGGUGGCCAAGGCGGGUCUCUGGGCCGAUACUGACGCUGAGGAGCGAAAGCGUGGGGAGCGAACAGG
rnacentral:rRNA from 1 species